rnacentral:rRNA from 1 species
UUUUCUAAUCAUUCCAACCUGAACAUGCCUGAUUUGUCUGAUCUCGGAAGCUAAGCAGGGUUAAGCCUAGUUUGUACUUUAAUGGGAGCAGUGUGAGCUUUUCAGGUUUCCAAAGA